AUCGUUAACAACUGGGAUCAAAAGGCG
rnacentral:piRNA from 1 species